rnacentral:rRNA from 1 species
AGAGUUUGAUCCUGGCUCAGGAUGAACUUUGGCGGCGUGCCUAACACAUGCAAGUCGAGCGAAACGCUUCUGAUGAAUUCUUCGAAUAAUAUAAGGAGUGUAAAGCGGCGAACGGGUAAUUAACCCGGAGGCAAACCUGCCCCAUACAGAGGGAUAGCAUCUGGAAACGAGAUAUUAAUACCUCAUAAUACUUAGAGAUCACAUGGUAAUUAAUUCAAAAAUUCAUCGGUAUGGGAUGGGCCUGCGUCUGAUUAGCUAGUUGGUGGGGUAACGGCUCACCAAGGCGACGAUCAGUAGCAGACGUGAGAGUGUGAUCCGCACACAUUUGAGAUUGAGACACUGUCCCAUCUUCUUCGGGGAGGCACCGGUGGGGAUUAUUCACCAAGGGCGCAAACUAUGAUGCACCGCCGCGGGUGGGAGGAAGACGUAUCUGGGUAGGUAAUCUUUCUUCAGCGGGGAAGAAAAUGACGGUACCUCAUUAGGAAGCCCCGGCUAACUCUGUGCCAGCACCCGCGGUAAUACGUAGGGGGCAAGCGUUAUCUGGAUUUACUGGGUGUAAAGGGAGCGUAGACGGAUGUGCAAGUGUGAUGUGAAAACCCGGGGCUCUACCCCGUGAUUGCAUUGGAAACUGUCCAUCUAGAGUGCCGGAGGGGUAAGCGGAAUUCCUAGUGUAGCGGUGAAAUGCGUAGAUAUUAGGAGGAACCCCCGUGGCGAAGGCGGCUUAUUGGACGGUAACUGACCUUGAGGCUCGAAAGCGUGGGGAGCAAACCGGAUUAGAUACCCUGGUAGUUCCCGCCGUAAACGAUGA